rnacentral:lncRNA from 1 species
UAAAGUUUUUGACAGUCCGUACAAUUCGUUUUUGUAUUGGUGAAACGAGAAACCAACACCUAAUCUAGAAAGCAGUAAACGACACGGAUUUACGUGGUUCGGUCGAGAAGACCUACGUCCACGGGGUGUUGGGGGUUUUUCCACUAUACUUCAAGAGAAUUACAUUUUACAAGAGAUGAAUGAAUAAUGAGAUGAUGCCCUAAUCUAUGACCCCAAGGCCCUAUUUAUAAGUAUGAACAUAAACUUAAGGCCCUUAGGCCCAUUAGACCCUUAAAGCCCAUUAGCCCAAUGAAUUAAGCCCAAACCCCGUUAUUCUAAUCUACAUCUUGCAAUUGAGCCAUCAGAGCUGGAAAGCGGAGCCGAGCUGAGCCAAGCCGAAAGUCAGGGCAAUCCUGUAUCAN